rnacentral:rRNA from 1 species
AUUGAACGCUGGCGGCAGGCCUAACACAUGCAAGUCGGACGGUAGCACAGAGGAGCUUGCUCCUCGGGUGACGAGUGGCGGACGGGUGAGUAAUGUCUGGGGAUCUGCCCGAUAGAGGGGGAUAACCACUGGAAACGGUGGCUAAUACCGCAUAACGUCGCAAGACCAAAGAGGGGGACCUUCGGGCCUCUCACUAUCGGAUGAACCCAGAUGGGAUUAGCUAGUAGGCGGGGUAAUGGCCCACCUAGGCGACGAUCCCUAGCUGGUCUGAGGGGCUGACCGGCCACAGUGGAACUGAGACACGGUGCAGACUCCGACGGGAGGCGGCAGUGGGGGAUAUUGCACAAUGGGGGCAAGCCUGAUGCAGCCAUGCCGGGUGUAUGAAGAAGGCCUUCGGGUUGUAAAGUACUUUCAGCGGGGAGGAAGGCGAUGUGGUUAAUAACCUUGUCGAUUGACGUUACCCGCAGAAGAAGCACCGGCUAACUCCGUGCCAGCCGCCGCCGUAA